GACGAACGCUGGCGGCGUGCUUAACACAUGCAAGUCGUACGGUAAGGCCCUUUCGGGGGUACCCGAGUGGCGACCGGGUGAGUAACACGUGCGUAACCUUCCCACACCUUUGGGAUAAGGCUAGGAACGUGGGGCUAAUACUGAUAAUGUCCCCUUUCUGCAUGGGGGGGGUUGAAAAGUUCCGGCGGUUGUGGAUGGACCCGCGGCCUAUCAGCUGGUUGGUGGGGUAGUGGCCUACCAAGGCGGCGACGGGUAGCCGGCCUGAGAGGGGGACCGGCCACAUUGGGACUGAGGUACGGCCCAGACUCCUACGGGAGGCAGCAGUGGGGAAUAUUGCACAAUGGGCGCGAGCCUGAUGCAGCAACGCCGCGUGCGGGAUGACGGCCUUCGGGUUGUAAACCGCUGUCAGCAGGGACGAAGCUUUUUGUGACGGUACCUGCAGAAGAAGCACCGGCUAACUACGU
rnacentral:rRNA from 1 species